UGCCAGCCGCCGCGGUAAUACGGAGGGUGCAAGCGUUAAUCGGAAUUACUGGGCGUAAAGCGCGCGUAGGCGGCUUGUUAAGUCAGAUGUGAAAUCCCCGGGCUCAACCUGGGAACUGCAUCCGAUACUGGCAAGCUAGAGUAUGUUAGAGGCAAGUGGAAUUCCGGGUGUAGCGGUGAAAUGCGUAGAUAUCUGGAGGAACACCGGUGGCGAAAGCGGCUCACUGGACCGUCUCUGACGCUGAGGUGCGAAAGCUAGGGUAGCGAACGGGAUUAGAUA
rnacentral:rRNA from 1 species